rnacentral:rRNA from 1 species
AGGACGAACGCUGGCGGCGUGCUUAACACAUGCAAGUCGAGCGGAAAGGCCCUUCGGGGUACUCGAGCGGCGAACGGGUGAGUAACACGUGAGUAAUCUGCCCCUAGCUCUGGGAUAGCUCCGGGAAAACCGGGAUUAAUACCAGAUACGACCACUUUAGACAUCUGUUGUGGUGGAAAGAAUUUUGGCUAGGGAUGAGCUCGCGGCCUAUCAGCUUGUUGGUGAGGUAACGGCUCACCAAGGCGACGACGGGUAGCCGGCCUGAGAGGGCGACCGGCCACACUGGGACUGAGACACGGCCCAGACUCCUACGGGAGGCAGCAGUGGGGAAUAUUGCGCAAUGGGCGAAAGCCUGACGCAGCGACGCCGCGUGGGGGAUGAAGGCCUUCGGGUUGUAAACCCUUUCAGCAGGGACGAAGCGAAGUGACGGUACCUGCAGAAGAAGCGCCGGCUACUACGCGCCAGCAGCGC